CCCAGACUCCUACGGGAGGCAGCAGUGGGGAAUAUUGCACAAUGGGGGAAACCCUGAUGCAGCGACGCCGCGUGAGUGAAGAAGUAUUUCGGUAUGUAAAGCUCUAUCAGCAGGGAAGAAAAUGACGGUACCUGACUAAGAAGCCCCGGCUAACUACGUGCCAGCAGCCGCGGUAAUACGUAGGGGGCAAGCGUUAUCCGGAUUUACUGGGUGUAAAGGGAGCGUAGACGGUGAUGCAAGUCAGAAGUGAAAGCCCGGGGCUCAACUCCGGGACUGCUUUUGAAACUGUGUGACUGGAGUGCAGGAGAGGUAAGCGGAAUUCCUGGUGUAGCGGUGAAAUGCGUAGAUAUCAGGAGGAACACCAGUGGCGAAGGCGGCUUACUGGACUGUAACUGACGUUGAGGCUCGAAAGCGUGGGGAGCAAACAGGAUUAGAUACCCUAGUAA
rnacentral:rRNA from 1 species